GAAGGUGGAUAUGGUGAUAUAUACUAUUGAAUUGAUGAUUAUUUAUGUCUAUGGCUCAAUUUGGUUUAAUGGAUUGGUUGGAAGGAUAAAUGAAUCCAAACUUGAUAUUGGAUGAUGUUGUAUGAAUAUGCAUGGCAUGUGAAUGUAAUUGGAGUAUAAGAGGGUUAAAGUGACACCCUUUAUGGUAUAAUUAAGGCUUACUACUUAGACACUAG
rnacentral:lncRNA from 1 species